rnacentral:rRNA from 1 species
AUACGGAGGGUGCAAGCGUUACUCGGAAUUACUGGGCGUAAAGGACGCGUAGGCGGUUUAGAAAGUCAGAUGUGAAAGCCUAUGGCUUGACCAUAGAACUGCAUCUGAAACUCCUAGACUAGAGUGAGGGAGAGGUCAGUGGAAUUAGUGGUGUAGGGGUAAAAUCCGUAGAGAUCACUAGGAAUACUCAUAGCGAAGGCGACUGACUGGAACUUUACUGACGCUGAGGCGUGAAAGCGUGGGGAGCAAACAGGAUUAGAAACCCCAGUAGUCC